CUUGGCACUGGGAGAAUUCACAGG
rnacentral:miRNA from 1 species